rnacentral:rRNA from 1 species
AUGUGGCUGAGAGCAUCCGAUUAUAAGGAGACCCUCAAACAAGCAUGGUCUGCAGGUAGAGCGUGCCUGUCAUCUUUGAGUUCGACUUGGGAAAGUUUGAAAGGCGUGGCGGGCUCUCUACGUUCCUGGAGUAAGGAGGCCUUUGGCUCUAUUCGCAAGAAGAUUGGUAAGAUGGAGCGCCGUCUGGCCUCUAUCAGGGCUUCCCAGGCUUCCCCAGCAUCUCUUUCGGAAGAAAAGCAUAUUGAGAGUCAGCUUUGUGAGUUGUUUGAGCGUGAGGAAAUCAUGGAAUGUCAACGUUCUCGGGUGGACUGGCUAAAAGCAGGAGACCGUAACACUGAGUUCUUCCAGGCUAGGGCGUCGGCUAGACGGAAAACUAACAGAAUCCGCUCGGUUCUCCGGGAGGAUGGUUCAACCUGUAAUUCUCAAGGGCAGAUCAAGGACUUAGUGCAGUCAUUCUAUGAAAAGCUUUUCACUUCGGAACCUCGCCCGACUGCUGAUGAGGUCUUACAAGCUAUUCCUCACAAGGUGACUGCUGAGAUGAAUGCCGAUCUUUGCAAGUCUUAUUCGGAUGAGGAGAUCAAGGCGGCGUUGUUUCAGAUGGGACCAACUAAGGCCCCCGGUCCUGACGGUUUCCCUGCUCUGUUUUACCAGCACCAUUGGAACUUCCUGGGGGAGGACAUAUGUCAGGCUGUUCGAGGUUUCUUGCUGGGGAGACCGAUUCCAGAGGGUUUUUGCGAUUCGGUCAUUGUUCUUAUACCGAAGACGGUCAGGCCAAAACACUUGAAGAAUUUCCGUCCUAUCAGCCUUUGCAAUGUGCUCUAUAAAAUUGCAUCCAAAGUCUUAGCAAACCGUUUGAAGUCCUUGCUGCCUGUGGUGGUGUCUGAGACUCAGAGUGCUUUUGUUCCCGGUAGGCUAAUUACGGAUAAUGCCCUGAUUGCGUAUGAGUGCCUACACACUAUCAGGAAACAACGAGUGAAGAAACCCUUCUUUGCACUCAAAAUUGACAUGAUGAAGGCCUAUGAUCGUGUGGAGUGGAGCUACCUCCAUCAAUGCCUGACCAAGCUAGGUUUGGCUCCUUCCUGGAUUGAUACUGUUAUGCGAUGUGUGACUAACGUUCGGUAUGCGGUCAGAGUCAACGGAGAGCUUACACAACCGGUGAUUCCAUCUCGUGGUAUUCGGCAAGGAGACCCAAUCAGCCCGUAUCUCUUUUUCUUAUGCACCGAAGGUCUAUCUGGUCUGCUUUUCCAAAAGGAGGCUUGUGGCAAGCUACAUGGGAUUCGAAACGGCCGUCAUGGCCCGUCUAUCUCACACCUCCUGUUCGCAGAUGAUAGCAUUUUCUUUGCUAAGAGUGAUCCUCAGAGUGUGGCAUCUUUGGAGGCAACUCUUAGUUCAUACUAUGCGGGUUCGGGCCAGGCAAUCAAUAAAGAUAAGUCUGCGGUGUUCUUUGGAAACCAUUGUCCGGCGGAGGUAAAGGAUCGUGACAUCGUGUGA